GUAGACAUAGUUUAAAAAAAAUACCAGACUGUGAAUCUGAAGAUAGGGUGUAACCAUCCUUGUCUACC
rnacentral:tRNA from 1 species